AGAGUUUGAUCCUGGCUCAGAAUGAACGCUAGAAAUACUCAUUACACAUGCGAAUCGCACGUAAUAACUAUGUGUUGUUAAGUGGUGUCCGGGUGCGUAAUACAUUUUUAUUACCUUAUAGUUCGGUUAGAUCCCGAUAAAGAUAAAUUAUAUCGUUAUAAGAAAUAAAAAUGCAAGAUUAAGUAGUUGGUGGGAUAAUGCUUACCAAGCUGGGAAUCUUUAGCUGGUCUGGGAGGACUAACAGCCACAGUGGAACUGAAAACGGUCCACCCUUACGGCAGCAGUGUGGAAUAUUGAACAAUGGGCGACAGCCUGAUUCAUAGAUAUUUCUUGAGGGAAUGAAAAUCAGCGAGACUGUAAACCUCUUUCGGCAAUGAAAAUAAUGAUCGUAGUUGCAUUAAGAAGUCCCGGCUAACUCUGUGCCAGCAGCCGCGGUAAUACAGAGGGGACAGGCGUUAUUCGGAAUUACUGGGUGUAAAGGGUACGUAGACUGAAUAUAUAUAGCAAUUAUGAAAGGCUUGAGGUUACCUGAAGAAAAAUAAUUGCAAACUAUAAAAUUUUUUAUAAAACUAGAGUGUAGUAGAGGUUGGGAGAAUUUUUAGUGUAAAUGUAAAAAUUGAAGAUCCUAAAAGGAACACCAAAGGCGGAGGCACCUUUCUAUAUUACACUGACGUUGAGGUACGAAGGCGUGGGUAUCGAACCGGAUUAGAGACCCGGGUAGUCCACGCAGUAAACGAUGAUUAUUAAUUAUUAGUUUUAACCAGCUAGUAAUACAGCUAACGCGUUAAAUAAUCCACCUGGGGACUACAAUCGCAAGAUUGAAACUUUAGGGAAUUGACGGGAGCUUUUUACAAGCGGUGGAGCAUGUGGUUUAAUUAGAUACAACACCAAAAAUCUUACCAGUUCUUAUCUAUUUUGCUAGUAUACUAAGUUGGCUAGAAAGGCAAUUGUAUACAACGAAAGCAAAAUUAAGUGUUGCAUGGCUAUCGUCAGCUUAUGUCAUGAGAUUUAGGUUAAUUCCGUAUAAUGAGCGCAACCCUAAUUCUUAGUUGCUAACACAUAGAGUGAGAACUUUAAGAAAACAGACAUCAAACAGAUGGAGGAAGGUUAGGAUGACGCUAAGUCAACAUGGCCUGCAUGGACUGGGCUACACAUCUGCUACAAUGGAGAUAUAUCAAUGAGUAACAAUGGUAAUACCGGAGUAAAUCUCUAAAAAUUUCCGCAGUACAGAUUAAUUUCUGAAAUUCGAAAUUAUGAAGACGGAAUCGCUAGUAAUCGCGUAUCAGCAUGUCGCGGUGAAUAUGUUCUUAUGCUUUGUACACACCGCCCAUCACGGUCUGGAAGUGUGUCUGCUUAAAGUGGGAUGAAAUUACAGAGGUGCGGCCUCAGACAGUAUGUAAUCUUACGUGCGUUGGGGGCAUAACCGGAACGAAGUCGUAACAAGGUAACCGUACUAGUACGAAGAGAUU
rnacentral:rRNA from 1 species